rnacentral:lncRNA from 1 species
UUGUUGGCUAUGCACUUUUUGUGGAUUGGGAAGAGCUCUACUUGCCAGCCUGAGUGACUUUUAUGUUUUGAAGAUAUUUAGCUGUGUUAUUUAUCAUGCAAUUAUCUAAAGCCUAAACUACUUCUAGAUGAGUAUGCACCUGGUAAUGUUAAUAUUUCACUUGCUUUUGUAUUACUACUAAUUUCAUUAAGAAUGUUCCUUGAGAUUAAUUGGUCCAUCUAUCAUCACAUUUUAUUGGUGACAAAUUAAUUUUCUAUAAUUCAUUGUUUCUUGCUUGGAUCAAUUUGCCAGCGUAGGCAUAACUGGCAUGUUCUUUUCUCCCUGCUCCCUAUCCAUUUUAUUGUGCAAUUUUAGAAGCUAUGUUGAUUAACCUGCCUUUCAUUACCAUGAUGCUUAGGAUGCUAAUUGUACAUAAUUCAUUCUUGCUUUGAUAAACAUGAUCUUACUUGAUAGGCUUAUUAUGUUUCAGGCAAAUGCACCAUUUUUCGUGGUAAUAUAUGUUUGCCAUGUGUCCUUUUUGUUGUAGUAUAUGUUUGCAUGGUGCUGGCAUUUUGGUUUAGAAGAUACAUAUAUAUAAGUAAACAGAGGGUAUACACACUCUUGAAAACAGAGGUCACAUGCAUUGCUUUGUCUGAAGAAGAAAUAAGCUGUGUCGCACAAGGUGGGUUGGAACAUUAGUAAUCCUUUUCAGAAAAUGGGUACUGUAGUGGAUCGAGCUUGUACUGAGCUCCUUAAUGUCAACCAAAAUAUGAGUGCUCAAAAUGUUAGAUUUUGAACUCAGUGCUAGGCUGCUUGACUUGAACUUCUAUAAGAUUCUUUCUACACUUAAAAGAACUAUGCACAAUUCUCAUAAAUAGCUUAGCCAUUGUUUUUCAUAUGAAAAAAAAGUAUGGAUGAAUGAAAUGCCACAGGAACAGCAGCCCAGGUUAGGACACAUCAUCAAUUAUUUAGACAACCAGAUUAUAUUUUUCAUUGUCAUGUUGGUACAAUUAUAUGUAUCCUUUUUAUUUUUUCACACUAUACUGUUCCUUAUGGUGUUCAAUAUACAUGGCUUUAUACUCCCUCCAUUCUAAAUUGAUCUACAUAUUUUAUAGGUACACCAAGACCAAGAAAAGCUAAUAUCUCUCUCAUACUAUAUUUACUCUAGCAACAAAUUAGAUGCAUACACCAUCCCCACUAUUUCCUAGCCAAUAGCAAAUCAAGAUAUUGCAUGUGGGUUAUAAAUACUUGUGUGCAUGGAUGCAUGCAUCAAUAUCCAUUUACUCUAAUGCACAAAUAACGAAUAGACUUAAUAAAUGAACACAAAUAUGUAGAUCAUUUAGGAAUAACCUCAAAAAAACUAUAUGUAGAUCAAUUUGGAAUGGAGGGAGUAUAAAACAAUGUUAUGAUGCUAAACAAAGUGCUAAUCUAGAUUGCUGGAAGUCUUGAAGUUGAUUGUAUGGUCACAUAUCUAUGAUAUAAUCAUUCCAUUCUGCUUUUGAUUUUUGCAUAUUCAGAUUCUUCCCAACACUAGCAAUUUUACAGUCAUGAAACUAUUCUUGAAUUAAUGGCAUAGGGUCUGCUGAGAAUAGAUGAACAGAUAUUUGCAGUUAGCUUUUUUCAGUUGUUGUUUGUGAAUGAAUGAAUGAUAAUCAUAUGAGCAUCAUAUGCAUUGUCUUGUAGUUCUGCACUAAUGCUACACUAUUCAUCACAAACAUGCUGCACUUGACUUGUGGUAACUGGAAAAUCCCAUUUGCUAUGAAAUAUAUAUGUUCAAUACACAUGUACUGGAAGUCCUUCCUGCGAUGAAAUAGAUAUGUACAAUAGCAGUUGAAGUCCUUCCAUUUUACUUCCUAGGACUUCAGGCGAUUUGGUGGCUUUGUGAUACGGCAUUUCCUGCUUUCUUACCCUUAUAUUUAUAGAUCAAGUGGACAUGGAUAUGUCCAUCGUGCAUGUUGUUCGCAUCAUGACCAUGAACACUUCCACAGCCGCUUGCUUGUUUCCAUGCCACUCGUGUCAGUGAGACCGACUCCAACAUGAACACAAAGUCGUCCUCGAGCUAAACUACCGCACAACCACACCAUGGCUAUGUACAUGACAGUGCAGGGAACAAACUAAAAACCAAUCAGAUUUUCUUGAUUACUUGCAUUAAUGAUACGUCUCCAUAAUGCCCAUGAUGUUGCUACCAGAUAUAGAUAUCAAGUGAAAUCAAAUUAGUAUAGAUGUUGCUGCUUGUCUGAAGGUGGUCAUGUGAUGUUUUUGAAAUAUUUUUGGGAUGUAUUAUUGUGAAAGCUGUACUAUUUUUUUUUAUAACGGAACAAUGGAUCACUUAAGCUGCAGUGCAAUUAUAUGUAUUUCCUUCAUGUUUUCAAUAAUAAUGUGAGGUAUAAGAAUUACAUAUUGAUAACCGAAAUGAUCUAGUGUGUGUGGUAAGAGAGAAGACAUUGAUAAAGGGGUGGAAGAAGACUGGAUGGUCUUUAAUGUCCCUUCCAUAUACAUAUCACCGUAUUGGGAAUGAUAUAUGUAAAAUUUCGAUAUAGUACAGUGGCAGGUCCACCGUAGAUGCACGGGGUGCAGUUCCAUCCCCAACUUUUUUGGAACACAAGUUGUUAAGUAUGCACAUUAGGGCUGCCAAAUGUACAUGUUCCACCUUAAUCUUGACGGUCGCCCUGCACACUUCACUAGGUAUGCUUCCCUGUUCUGCUUCAGUAGAAUUGUCUUAUUUUUUACCGCAACAAUGCGAUGUUGGCCAAUGUGGAAUGAACCAAGUGCAGAUGAAUCCAUGUUAGUUUGCCAUUGCUUGAACGAGUCCUGAUUGAAGCAACAUCUUGCUCAUCUCUAUCCCAUUAUGAACAAGUAGCAUCAAUUAGUGAAGAAACAUUUACAAUAAUGUUCAUCAAUUACAUUUUUAGUUCAUAUAUUGUUAAAAUUAAACUGUUAUGAAAUCACUUGGAAAUUUAUUCCCAUGUUAUGUUUUGUUGUCUUCAGUCAUCAUGCUUCCUUGGGAUUCAGAGGGUGAGUUUAUGAUCUCGGUGUAUACAAUGUAAAUUCAGUAUAAGUAGUGUGACAUCUUUUGGUUGCACACAUGCACACCAGGUGAAGAUGGCCAUUGAUUCCAAUGGCAGUCGGUCCAUGAUCCCCCUAGACCUAUAGGAGCAGCUUCAUCUUUCCAUCAGACUUGCCCUAUGUGGUAAUAUGCAUGUAGGAUCAGUGGUAGACUGGUGGCUCUGUCAUCUUAUCUUGCUUGAAAGAGCUUGAUUAGCUUCAUGUAGUUUACAGUGACAAGCUGAUGACAAGGAUAAUCCGGUAGAUAUUUAUGUUUAAGUCUUUUACUUCAUUAUAUCUGAAAUAAGUUUGGAACUUGCUGGUUCUUUAGCAGUAGUGCAAACAGAAGCUAUGCUUGUGUGUUUCCAUGACCUCAUGUCAGGAUCCAACGAUUUUGGUUCAGACAAAUUUGGGGAAAAUUCAAAUAUGGCUAGUAGCUAACUAAUGGGAAUCCUAACACAGCAGAAAUGAAAAAUGGAAUGCUGAAAUUUACUAGAAUUGAAAGAGAUAUUUGUGUGCGCCGCAAGAACAAGAGGGGAAAUUAGAUUAGGGUUCAAGUUCGAUAAAGAGUUACAGCCAAAAGCUCGGGCUUAUAUUGAGUACGCCCAUAGCUAAACGACAACGACGAUGACGUCCACAGUACGGCAAUUCUUCCCCUCUGUAGCUCGUCGCGGUGAAACUGGGCCACACGAUCUUCAUAACUUUCUCGCGAAUCGGUAUCUCGCAAUCUCGACCGUUGAAUCUAUUCCAGCUAUCUCUUAACUCUGAACUUUAAGUCUGAAUCUUCUUCAGGUCUCACAAUUCUCCCCCCUUAAGAUCCAUGUCCUCAUGGAGUGAAAGAAGGAAAUACUUUGGUAAUAAACGCAGCAUCCUCCCAGGUUGCAGCUGAUUCUGGUAGGUUAGCCCAAUGAAUUUUCCACUGCACCACUGGUUCAUUGUUUCUAGGUAUAAGGCGACGAUCGAGCACUGCCAAUGGGGUAGAGAGAAUCCUGCCCUCAGCAUCAAUCAAAGGAAGACCUUGUUCAGGGACAGCACGAGAGCCCAGAUGUUUCUUUAACUGGCUGACAUGGAAGACAUGAUGUAUUUGGCUAGUAACAGGUAGCAAAAGCUUGUAAGCAACUGAACCAAUGCGCUCCAGAACUCUGAAUGGCCCAUAGUACCUGGAGUGAAGUUUCAAGGAAGAAUGAAGACCCAGUGAAUUAUGUCGAUAUGGUUGCAUUUUAAGGUAGACCAUAUCGCCAACUUCAAGUGUGCGUUCUUGGCGAUGUUGAUCGGCAAAGUAUUUCAUACGGGCUUGAGCCUUGACAAGAUGAGAUUUUAUUGUCUCCAACAGAGCAGCUUUGGCUUCCUGUUUGUUACGUUCACCUUCCAAUAAGGAACCAGGUAGGAGUAAUUCAGCCAACAGGGGUGGUUUAAUGCCAUGUAGGGCCUGAUAUGGUGACAUGCCCAGAGAUGUAUGGAAGGUUGUAUUGUACCACCAUUCAGCAUGAGGUAGAAGAGCUUUCCAUUUCCUGGGUUUGGACGAUGUCAUGCAGCGAAGAUAAUUUUCCAAGCAUUGAUUAACUCGCUCCGAUUGACCAUCAGUUUGCGGGUGAUAAGCGCUGCUGAAGUGGAGUUUGACGCCAGCCUUUUCAAAAACUUCUUUCCAGGUGGAACUAGUGAAGAUGCGAUCUCUGUCACUCACAAUCACUGUCGGCAAGCCAUGUAAUUUGUAAAAGUGCUCCAAGAAUUGAGUAAGAAUUUGGUCGGCAGUGAAAGGAUGGCUAAGAGGAAUGAAGUGUGCAUAUUUGGUGAACCUAUCAACAAUAACCCAGAUCACAUCCUUGCCUUCAGACUUGGGUAAGCCUUCGACAAAAUCCAUUGUAAUGUGAGACCAAGCCAUUUCAGGAAGAGGGAGAGGUUGAAGUAACCCAGCUGGCAUGUUAUGUUCAGUCUUGUUCUUUUGGCAGACAGGGCAAGCUUUGACAAAUUGAGUGACAGCAAGUUUCAUACCAGGCCAAUAGAACAGUUGUUUCAUCCUCUGAUAAGUUGCUCUUUCACCAGAAUGACCUCCUAGAGCUGAGUCAUGAAAAGAAACUAAUAAUUGCUCUCGUAGUGUGUUGCCGGCCCCAACUACAAUAUGAUCUUUGUAUCUGAGAAUGCCUCCUUUCAAAGUAUAAGGAGGGUGAGAUUGCGGUGCAAUGUGCAGGUGAGAUUCCAAUUCGUGGCAUUUUGGGUCAGUACUGUAACUAGCAGCCACUUCAGUUAUCCACUGGGGAACAAUGACAGUAGUAGUUAAAGCAUUAAGCUGCUGCAUUCUGGACAGCGCAUCUGCAGCUUUGUUCUCUUGGCCCUUUUUGUAUUCAAUUUUAUAGUCAUAGCUUAACAACUUGAUAAGUAAUUUGUGCUGGACACCUUCAGUGAUUCGCUGCUCAUUAAUGUAUUUCAAGCUAGCUUGAUCUGUUCUGAUAAUGAGAGAAGUGCCUAAAAAGUAAUGUUUCCAUUUCUUUAGAGCUUCCAAGAUAGCUAGGGCUUCCUUAUCAUAGGUGGAGAGGGCAGCAGCUUUGGGUCCUAUUGCUUUGCUGAGAUAAGCAAGUGGUCGACCAUUUUGCAUUAAAACUGCUCCGAUCCCAUGUCCACUAGCAUCGGCUUCCAAAAUAAAUGGAAGGGAGAAAUCUGGCAUGGCCAAAACAGGUGCUUGAGCUAACUGAAGCUUAAUGGCAUCGAAGGCUUGUUGCUGAACUUCUUGCCAAUGGAAGUUGUUCUUUUUCAGAGCAUCAAACAUAGGCCGGCAGAUGAUACCAAAGUUUUUAAUGAAUCUUCGGUAGUAGCCAGCUAAACCUAGAAAACCCCUUAGUUCAGUGAUAGAAGUAGGAGUAGGCCAGUUUUGAACUGCUUGCACCUUAACAGGGUCAGUAGCAACUCCUGAGGAGCUAAUAAUAUACCCCAAAUAUUCCACUUGAUCUUGCCCAAAGACACAUUUACUUGGUUUGGCGAAUAACUGGUGAUGUCUCAGUAACUGUAGUACUAGGCUCAAAUGCUGCGCAUGUUCGGUGGCUGACUUGCUAUAUAUGAGAAUAUCAUCAAAGAAAACUAACACGAAUUUGCGGAGAUAGGGUGCUAAUAUCUUGUUCAUGAGUGCUUGAAAUGUGGCUGGCGCAUUAGUUAAUCCAAAAGGCAUCACCAAGUAUUCAAAAUGGCCCAAAUGAGUGCUAAAAGCUGUUUUAUGAACAUCAGCUGCAUGCAUGCGAAUUUGGUGGUACCCAGACCUGAGAUCGAUUUUGGAAAAAAUUUGAGCUCCCUGCAACUCAUCCAAGAGAUCCUCAAUGACAGGAAUGGGGUAUUUGUUCUUAAUUGUGGAAGCAUUAAGUUGUCUAUAGUCAACACACAAACGCCAUGUGCCAUCUUUCUUUUUAACCAAUAUAGCUGGAGAAGAAUAUGGACUCAUGCUGGGCUGAAUGGUUUGGGAGGUAAGCAACUGCUGAACCAACUCCUCAAGAGCAUUUUUCUUCUGAUAUGGCAGUCUAUAAGGUCGGACAUUUACUGGUUUAGCUCCUGGUAUCAAGGGAAUUGUGUGAUCACAGUCACGUUGAGGAGGGAGUGCCACUGGUUCUGCAAAAACAUCAGCAAACUAUGCUAAAACUGGAGCCAACAGAGGAGGGGUGGGUAUCUCAGUCAAGGCAGAGCAAUGAAUGGAGUGACAGUACAAGACAGCUCCCACCACAUCUUGAGUUAGGAGUUUCUCCAUUGUAGGGGCAGAAAUCAUAAAAUUAGAUGGUGACACACUGAUGUCAGGUAAUGUCAAUUCCAGCAGUCCAUCUUUAUGAAUGGUUAAUUCCCUGGUCUUCAGGUUGAGUGUCAAUGGACUAUGGUGAUAAAUCCAAUCGCACCCAAGGACGAUAUCAUAGCCUUUCAGAUUAAGAAGUCUGAAUGUAGAUAUGAAUUGGUGCUGCUGAAUCAUAUAAGGUACAUCAACACACCUAGCACCAGUAUAUAAAGUGCCUCCAUUUGCUACCUUAACAGGAAUAGGGUCAUUGUUAACAAUCUCCAAGCCAGCCUUACUGACAAAUUUGGGAGAAAUGAAAGUUGAGGUGCUGCCACUAUCAAUCAAAGCAGUAGCAGACAUCUUCCCAAUGCACACAUGGAUAGUAAAAGUUGUAGCAACAGAAUUGGUUCCCUCGAGAGCAUGCAAAGACAAGUCUGUAUGGGUAGUAGCCUCAUGAGCAGGACUACCUGGUGGUGUAGUAAACUGGGCCGCAGCAUUAUCAGGCAUUUCUUCUCCAUCAUCAUCUAAGGUUACCAAAUAAAUUUGUUUAGUGGCCUUACAAACUCGACCAUGUCCAGGUACCCAAGGCUCUUGGCACUUGAAGCAUCUGCCAAACGACUUUGGUGCUGUAAAAGGUGAUGGCUUGUCAUCCUUCAAUGCCGGUUUAACCGGUAAUUUAGGCAUCUCCUUACUCUGAGAUACUGCCACAGUGGGACUGCUUCGAGGAGGCACAUCAUAAUUUCUUGCAUGUUCAUAAGCAUCAACCAAGGACUGAAUGUGUAAAGAUUUCAGUGGUCUUUUGAUAUGAUCCUUAAGGCCAGAGAUAAAGUAAUCCAAAAAGUACUGCUCAGUUAGGUUGGGCCUAUUUCGUUUCACUAGAGCCAUAACUUCUUCAAAUUUGUCGAUAUAAACAUCAACAGAACCAUACUGUUUCAGAUUUCGAAAAGUAUCAAUGACUUCAAUGUUGGACUUAGCAGCAAAGCGUUGGCAAAUCAUGGACUUAAAUUCAGGCCAAGUUAGUUGUUCAGUGAGAACAUCAGAACUCGAGAUCCACUGAUCAGCACGACCUGUGAUAUAGAUUUCAGCCACUAGGACUUUUUCUUCUUCAGGAGUUUGAUUCAAAGCAAAAUACUUUUCAGCCUUCCUUAUCCAAGAUUCAGGGCAUUCACCAUCGAAAAUGGGGAAAUCAACAUGCUUUGAUCGUCUAUGAGCAUUCUCAGCAUACUGGGUUCUUUCUCGGCCAUUAGGAUCGUGGUAGGGCCCAAAUCGACGAUCCCAAUUUUGGGGAAGAAACGGUUGGUUAGGUGGUGUAUGGGAUGGUGGUGGGUAGUUGUACUGUGGAAGGUUCCAAGGUGUGUUAUAGGGAGGGUAGGGAGGGUAAUAGAAUGGUGUAUACUGGUAGUUCAUAUUGUAAGGAUUGUAAUUUUGGUUUUGAGGUAAAUUGUUUUGGUUAGGUGGAGGUGGUGGUACUGGUGGAAUUGGUGGUGGAACUGUUGGUGUAGUGAAGUAAACCGAGGUAUUCCAUUCAGAUGGAGGGGUGGAGACAGGUUUGGGAGUAAAAACAGUUGGUGGUAGGUCUGUGGUUUCUAUGGCUUGGGUGGUCAUUGGGCAACUAAGGUUUCUAUAAUCGAAAAGAGGAUGUCUGCUGGUACUUGCUGCAUUAGUGUCCACUGCUUUUCCCCCUCCUACGACAGAUUGUGCAAAGCCAGGUGUUUUCGGUGUGCCCUUGAUUUCCUGCCCCAUGCAACUAGUUGUCCCACCUAACAUCUGUUGAAUUGACAACAAGUUUUGCAUAACCUCAUCCUUGUAUACCUGAGCCUGAACCGCCUGGUUCUGAAGCUGCUCCUGGACCAGCUUGUGGUCUUCUUCCACCUUCCUUUGCAAAUCCAUCAUGCUUAGCCUAAGCUCAUCCACCGCUGUCUCCCAUGGCUGUACCUCCUCCAGUACUGGAUCCUCCACUCGGGGCCCUCUAGGCAUGGUUGCAAACACAGAUCUGGGAAUUUUACAGGGGAACGACUAGUUAGUCCCCAAACCCUCACUGCUCUGCCGAAUUUGUGCUCCUCCGACCUGAUUCCUCGGCCUCGCUUAGGAAUUUUACCAGGAAAAUGAAUUUCCCAACCCUCACUAGCCUGGACUAUCAGAUCCGGAGUACUCCCAUCAGAUCUGAGCUCUGAUACCUUUUGUCAGGAUCCAACGAUUUUGGUUCAGACAAAUUUGGGGAAAAUUCAAAUAUGGCUAGUAGCUAACUAAUGGGAAUCCUAACACAGCAGAAAUGAAAAAUGGAAUGCUGAAAUUUACUAGAAUUGAAAGAGAUAUUUGUGUGCGCCGCAAGAACAAGAGGGGAAAUUAGAUUAGGGUUCAAGUUCGAUAAAGAGUUACAGCCAAAAGCUCGGGCUUAUAUUGAGUACGCCCAUAGCUAAACGACAACGACGAUGACGUCCACAGUACGGCAAUUCUUCCCCUCUGUAGCUCGUCGCGGCGAAACUGGGCCACACGAUCUUCAUAACUUUCUCGCGAAUCGGUAUCUCGCAAUCUCGACCGUUGAAUCUAUUCCAGCUAUCUCUUAACUCUGAACUUUAAGUCUGAAUCUUCUUCAGGUCUCACACCUCAUGAUUAUCAACCCCUUGUUUGUAGCUUUAAAACUUACAAAAGAUAUUGCUGAAACUGUCCAUUGCUGAAUGCUGAUACGCUUUGGAUAUGACAAUCUUACUUUGUUUUAAGAAGGUGGCUAAUUGUUGUCAUGUACUAUAUAUGCUUGUGGAUGAAAUUUGACAAUAUUAACCACUUAUUGUGGCAGUAUAUAGUAUUACAUAUGCAUGUAGAUUUUCGUCUGUACUACAUGGCAUCAGCUAAAUUCCAUGUGAUAUAACAAUUUUGUGUUAGCCAACUAUGCCCACUGUAAUGAAAUUAGACAACCAAUUGGUGCUGUCAUUUUUUUAAUCUGAAGCUGAAGAGUUAGCUCUAUAAAGUUUGUGCCAUUUUUUAUCUGCCUUUUCUUAUAACUUUUCUUAGCAAAAUAGUAUGCUCCCUAGUGCUGCAUCUUCGAGCUUUUAUGGAUGUUUUGCUUCUUGUGGAUCUAGAAGUAGAAAUGCAUGAAUCCGGAACAAUUAGUUUAUGACUGGCAUUAUAUUCAUAGUUUCUGCAAUAACAUGCCACUAAUGUUUUCUAUAAAUUUUACUAAUGCAGCUGGUACCUUCCAUUACAGAUAUUCACCUAAGAUCAAGUAAAUUAAAGUAAUUAGAUGUGCUGGCAGAAGAGCUUCUCACUAGCAUUGUCACUGUAAUCACUAAAUUUUAUAUGAUCCGUGUUGGAAGACUUGUGCUUUUAUCCAGGGGCUAUAUGACAGUAAUUAACAGAUAUCCUCAUACAUGGUUGCAUGAGCAACAAGUAUUUUUUUUGAGAGCUUCUAAUCGAGAAGGCAUGAGCUCGUCUAAACUUUUAUCCCCUUGCUCAUUCACUUUAGAUCUUGUGCGUUUAUCUUUUUUAUUAUUGCCGAUUUAUAGAAUCGACAUGAAGCUCACAUGAACUAGUGUAGUAUUCAGUAGUACCAGUGCUUCUUAAGAUCUUGUCUGUUUGGAACAGAGGAUCGAUUUGAACAGGCUGCUCGUCAAACUCCCUGUUCAUUUUCAGAUCAUAUAGUUGGGAGUAUUGUUCUUCUUUUGUGAACCCCUCUGUAAUUGAUUGUGGUUCAGCGAAUGUGGAUGCAAUUGGCUUGCAAACAUGAACAC